rnacentral:tRNA from 1 species
GCCGAUGUAGCUCAGCUGGCUAGAGCAGCUGAUUUGUAAUCAGCAGGUCGUGGGUUCGAGUCCCUCCAUCGCUC